GUCCUCGUAGCUCAGCAGGAUAGAGCAAUUGCCUCCUAAGCAAUAGGUCGUGCGUUCGAAUCGCGCCGAGGAUG
rnacentral:tRNA from 1 species